UACGUAGGGUGCAAGCGUUGUCCGGAAUUACUGGGCGUAAAGAGCUCGUAGGCGGUUUUGUCGCGUCGUCUGUGAAAUCCCGCAGCUCAACUGCGGGCUUGCAGGCGAUACGGGGCAGACUUGAGUACUGCAGGGGGAGACUGGAAUUCCUGGUGUAGCGGUGAAAAUGCGCAGAUAUCAGGAGGAACACCGGUGGCGAAGGCGGGGUCUCUGGGCAGUAACUGACGCUGAGGAGCGAAAGCGUGGGGUAGCGAACAGG
rnacentral:rRNA from 1 species